AAUAGAUACCCUGGUAGUCCAUGCCGUAAACGUUGGGCGCUAGGUGUGGGGCUCAUUCCACGAGUUCUGUGCCGCAGCUAACGCAUUAAGCGCCCCGCCUGGGGAGUACGGCCGCAAGGCUAAAACUCAAAGGAAUUGACGGGGGUCCGCACAAGCGGCGGAGCAUGCGGAUUAAUUCGAUGCAACGCGAAGAACCUUACCAAGGCUUGACAUACAUCGGUAACGGCCAGAGAUGGUCGCCCCGUAAGGUCGGUGUACAGGUGGUGCAUGGUUGUCGUCAGCUCGUGUCGUGAGAUGUUGGGUUAAGUCCCGCAACGAGCGCAACCCUCGUUCCAUGUUGCCAGCACGUUGUGGUGGGGACUCAUGGGAGACUGCCGGGGUCAACUCGGAGGAAGGUGGGGAUGACGUCAAAUCAUCAUGCCCCGUUAUGUCUUGGGCUUCACGCAUGCUACAAUGGCCAGUACAAAGGGCGGCGAUACCGGUGAGGUGGAGCGAAUCCCAAAAAACCGUGGUCUCAGUUCGGAUUGGGGU
rnacentral:rRNA from 1 species